rnacentral:rRNA from 1 species
CCUACGGGUGGCAGCAGUGAGGAAUAUUGGUCAAUGGCCGGAAGGCUGAACCAGCCAUGCCGCGUGAAGGUCAGUGCCCUAUGGGCGUUAAACUUCUUUUGUGCGGGAGCAAUAAUGGUCACGUGUGGCCAGACGAGAGUACCGUACGAAUAAGCAUCGGCUAACUCCGUGCCAGCAGCCGCUGUAAUACGGGGGAUGCAAGCGUUAUCCGGAUUUAUUGGGUUUAAAGGGUGCGUAGGCCGUGAGGUAAGUCAGCGGUGAAAUGCCCCCGCUCAACGGGGUGAAGUGCCAUUGAUACUGCCUGGCUGGAGUGCAGAUGCGGUGGGAGGAAUGUGUGGUGUAGCGGUGAAAUGCAUAGAGAUCACACAGAACACCGAUUGCGAAGGCAUCUCACGAAUCCGCGAUUGACGCUGAUGCACGAAAGCGUGGGUAUCAAACAGGAUUAGAUACCCGAGUAGUC